ensembl:lncRNA
GAUCUUUUUACAGGCUUCUCAGUUUGCCAGAAUGUCACAGUCAGAGUCGCACAGUAGGCAGCCUUAAGAAUCAGCGUGUUGAAACACACAAGAGCUUUGAGCUCAGACGUAAGGGCCGUGCUGAGCACAGCGAACGGCAGAGAGAAUCAGAACAGUGCAAGGAGGGCCUUCUGGCUUCCCCAAACUCCACGGAAGUCUCGAUUCGCAUCCUGGGGCUGCUCCUACUUCCCUUUUCUCAGGGUCUGCGCUCCCUCCCUGGAACAGCUGGGCCCAGGUCUCCCUCCAGGGAGCGUUCGGAUGGAGCACGGCCACCCACCAUCAUGACUAAAGAUCAAAAAGAGCAAAACAGAACAAGACCUCAGGUCUCCGGGCCAUUUCCCCCUUCAGAGGCGGAGAGCAGCACAUCAAAACCAGAAGAUGAGCCAGAAGGGAUCGGCUACCCUCAGGGG